UAUAUAGUUUUCAUGCAUAUAUAAUAUUAUACGUACGUACAAACAUAUUAUACACACAUAUCCAGUAAUUAUAUUAAGCAUACAAGUAAGCAACAAUCUAUCAAAAUUAGACCGGCAAGUCGCUGAAAGUUCGCAGAAAAUAUGCCUAAAAGAAGAAAGUAGAUAUAUUAAUUAAAGUAGUUACAUAUAUACCAAUUAGCUAAGAGAUCGAGAUCGAGAUAGAGGCGCGCAGCUCUUCAAGAUCGAUCAACUUCAUGAAGAAAAGCUUCCAAAACUAGAUUUGGAUUGGAUGAAUAUUCCAAUGAGGGGGAGGGGAGCUAGACCAUGCCUUUCUUCUACGUUCUCUUCUGGGCGAAAGGUGUAUAUGUUAUAGCCCGGAAUUUUUAGAUGCUAGUUUCUUUUAUUUUUAUUCGGUUGACUUUUUGGCUGACUUUUAAGAGGCUAAAAGUUGACUUUAUUUUUCGUAAGUUAUCUUCGAAAACUUCCUUCAUGAAAGUUGUAGAGUUUAUCAAUACGAGUUCGUAGACAUGCGGCACGCUUGAAACGGAGGUCGUAUGAAAAAGUUACAGUCAGAGGAAGUUAGUUUCCGAUUUUGAAAGGUAUAUAAAUAGAAAGUGGUGGGUUUUAUUUUUGGAAACCUAGCAGCCUCACUUUCUCUCUCCUCUCUCCCGACCUCCUCCCGCACUCAAACUUCUCCGGAUCGGUUCUCCUCCGUCCGGCCACCAUUUGGACCACCCCCAGUCUCGUUCGACUCACACGGACGCCCCCUUCAAUUCUGGGCUGGUGUGACGCGGCGUAGCAAGCCAGAGACGGAGCUCUUGGCCGGAGAAGAGGACGGUUGUGUCACCGAUCGGAACCGCCGUUUGCGGCGGCGACGAGGGGCAACCCUAGGUGAGUUUUGGUCCUCUCCUCCUCCUGGUAGUGUCUAGGCAAAGAUUGAAGCAAGUUUUUGAGGUUUUGAGGCCGGUUUUGCAGGUUUGAGGUGUGAUUCCGGGUUAGGGUU
rnacentral:lncRNA from 1 species